AAAAAAGGCCAAUAAACAUCAUACAUAAACAGUAUGACCAUAACGGACAAAUCAGUUUCUCACAGGCUCCAUGCUCCAUAUUUAAAAAUCACUUGAUGAUGAUUGUUGACCUGAACAAGUGCUAUUCGAGACAUUAAAAAGACUUUAUUGAGAUAUAGAUAUAAUAAUAACCAGAAAAGGUACAUUCAGAUUACUUUGUUUUUUUAAAGUACAUCCUGGGGAUGCUACCUUUGCCCCAUAUCCAGGGGAUGCUACUCUUAGCCAAAUUAAUGGUACUCAAUACUCGUUUUAUCUACCUGAGAGGGAUCAAGGGCCGAGUCGAACCCAUGACCCCCAUGGGUUGAACAGAUUCUACUGAUGAUUCAUUAG